rnacentral:misc_RNA from 1 species
UUAGUUUUUACUUAAAGGUUUUUUUAUUAGUUUUAAUCAUCGUUAAUGUUAUUGAUUAGUUACAGUUUUUUGAUUAUUUAUAAAUUUUACUAGUGUAAAUUUCAAAUUAAAAGAAUUUAAAGAAUUUUAUUAUGGAUAAACUAAAAAGAGAUGGAAAAAAAGGUGAUGGAAAGUGGAUUAAUGAGGGUUAUUCUUAUUAUAAACUGUCCGAGCAUAAAAGAAAAGAUGGUGCAGUUGUCACAUCUGUUGCAUGCAUUAAAAAAAACAAUAAAGCUUAUCACUGUCCAGUAACUGGGUGCUUUAUUGAUAACGUUUUUCAUCCAAAAAAUGAUAAUCACCAAGAUGCUCCUGAUCCAUUACUGCUUCAAAGAUGGGCAACUUAUAAACGUGCUAAGGAUUUGAGUGCAAUACGCGGAAUAAAUGCAGGGCAAAUUUACACUACAGCCUUUUUAAUAGAGAACAAUGAUAUAGCAACAGAUACACCAUCCUGUAAUGUACGUAGAACAAUUCAAAAAAUGAUCGCUAAAUCGCAACCGGAGCAGACAAAAUUACCACCAAAAACUAACACUUUAAUAAAAUUAAUCGAAUCCCUCACUUCAGUUGAAAAAAGUGCUUUACUGCAAUAUGGUGAACAAAUGAAACAUCACAUACAGUGCUAUUUAGAACAAGUGGAAAUAAAAAAUGGAUCAGUAGCAUCAAAUUUAUAUUUAUACGAUGAAGAGUUCUUCAAAAAUAUUUGUUCAAUACAAGAACAACAUCUUUUUAUUGACGGUACUUUUCGUUGCAUCCCUCAAUUAAAAGAGAAAAUAACUCAAUUACUAACUAUUAUGGUUAAAAUAGAGAAUAAAUCAACAAAAGAAUGCAAGGCGGUUCCAUGUAUGUGGGUACUAAUGACACAUAAAACAACGGAAUGCUAUGACAAAUUAUUUAAACAUAUUCAAAAACGAUUUCCUACUUUCUCUCCCAGUCGAUACAUGAGCGAUUAUGAAGUAGCCGUAGGAAAUGCAAUAGAAGCAACUUAUCCAAAUAUCCAAGCGACACAUUGUUACUUUCAUUAUUCCCAAGCAAUAAUGAAGAGAGCUCGAAAAUUAAAAUUAAUUUCAUCACAACACAAUAAAUUCACAGAUCCAGAUAUCUUUAUAAUUUUAAAACAAAUCAUAUCAUUAGCACUAUUGGAACCUUCUCAAAUUGAAAUCACAUUUCAACAAUGUAAAAAAAAUUGUUUGAAAGAUUUUGGUGAUUUUUUCAAAAAUUUCUUCGUAUAUUUUGAGAAAUUCUGGAUAAAAAAAAUUACUCCUUCAGAAUUUUCAGUGAAUAAUGUGAGUGACAGAACUAACAAUAAUAUUGAGUCAUACCACAAACAAUUAAAUUCAAAAUUACCUAAAAAUCCUGUACCAGCUCAAUUUAUUACUACUAUAAAACAAUUAUUAUUAGCUGCACGUAUGGAUAAGAUUCGUGUUGAAACAAGCACUUACCGAAGUAGAGAAUGUAAAAAACAUACACGUGAAAGCAAUAAAGAAAUAGAUGAUUUUUCUAAAGCCAUAAAGAAUAUUAAUUCACGAGAUCCAAAUGCAGCAAAUAUCAUUUUAUCACAGAUAAAUAAUUUAAAUUGCAUCAAAAAAUUGAUAGACACAGAAAAUGAAAUUAUUAGAGAGCAUAUGAAUAACAUUGAAACUAAAUAUGUUGAAGAUAACGUUUUCUACAGAAAAAUAACAAAAAAAAAAUACUACUGCUACAUAAAGCAGCUCUACCAGAUGCUUAUAAACCAGGUGUGUAUACAACUAUUGGCGGAAAGAAAAAACCAUUACAACGAACUAUAAAGAUGUCCAAGAUAGAAUCAACAAUGUAGCAUUCAGAAACAAUUGCUGGUAAUAUAGUGAUUUAAGCACGUGCUUCGGAUAUUUACCGUUUUGCUGAAUUCUCAAAAUUGAAUUUCGAGCAACAAAUUAUGGAGUUUAUUAUGUUAUUAAUAUUUACGAUUAGUUAGAUGCUUUAAGAUUUAAACAUUGUACUUCACAUCGAGCUGUUAUUAUGCAAUAUGCUGUUAUUGGUAAAAAUGUUUUUGACACAUUACUUUUUUGCGGCAGUGAAUUUUAUUUGAUUUAAAAACAAUUUGUGUACAUUAUCAGUGGCUAAACUAAUGUAUAGAUAAAGAAAUC